AUUGAACGCUGGCGGCAGGCCUAACACAUGCAAGUCGAACGAGUGGCGGACGGGUGAGUAAUGUCUGGGAAACUGCCUGAUGGAGGGGGAUAACUACUGGAAACGGUAGCUAAUACCGCAUCCCAUAAGAUGUGCCCAGAUGGGAUUAGCUAGUGGGUGGGGUAACGGUUCACCAAGGCGACGAUCCCUACCUGGUCUGCGAGGGUGACCAGCCACACUGGAACUGAGACACGGUCCCGACUCCGACGGGAGGCAGCAGUGGGGAAUAUUGCACAAUGGGCGCAAGCCUGAUGCAGCCAUGCCGCGUGUAUGAAGAAGGCCUUCGGGGUGUAAAGUACUUUCAGCGGGGAGGCGUUACCCGCAGAAGAAGCACCGGCUAACUCCGUGCCAGCAGCCGCGGUAAUUC
rnacentral:rRNA from 1 species